rnacentral:lncRNA from 1 species
UUUCCUAUUUUCAGAAAUCAAAACAUUACUUAAAUUGCAAUUUGUUCUCACCAUAUUCUGAUCAGAAAAAAUUCUUUCCUUUUAGGUUGUUCGAACUCAUUGACAUGAAUCAUUGUGCAAUGUCAUAUUGCUUCUCCUUCAUUCAUCAGCCUGUCAAAGCUGUAGGUAACACCAUCUGAAAACAAAAAUAUUCUAUUCAAUUCUAUGUACAAUCAAACAGACCGCUGAACGCGGACCUCGACGAAGACACCUUAUAAUUCAAUACACAUCACUCCGGUAAACACCAUUAAUAUCAAGUGACAUGUCACACUAAAUUAUUCCACUUUCUUGAUAAUUC